rnacentral:rRNA from 1 species
GAACGCUGGCGGCGUGCUUAACACAUGCAAGUCGAACGGGAUUUAGUAGACAGAAGCUUCGGUGGAAGAUUACUAAUGAGAGUGGCGAACGGGUGAGUAACGCGUGAGCAACCUGCCUAUGACAGUGGGAUAGCCUCGGGAAACCGGGAUUAAUACCGCAUAAAAUCGUAGAAACACAUGUUUUAACGGUCAAAGAUUUAUCGGUCAUAGAUGGGCUCGCGUCUGAUUAGCUAGUUGGUGAGAUAACAGCCCACCAAGGCGACGAUCAGUAGCCGGUCUGAGAGGAUGAACGGCCACAUUGGAACUGAGACACGGUCCAAACUCCUACGGGAGGCAGCAGUGGGGA